UGUCUUUGUUUAUUGGUUUUUACAAGCUAGAGCUGUUAGGAACCUAUGGGUUGGAGGAAUUAGUCUGUCUAUCUCAAAGCAGGAGGUAGAGGGAGAGUUUCAAAAGUUUGGAAAGGUUGAAGGUGUUGCAUUCUCCCAUGAUCAAACUUCUGCAUACAUCGACUUUGAGAAGCUGGAAGAUGCCAUUUCUGCCCAUAGAGCCUUGAAUGGGAUAGAUUAAGGGGGCAAGGAAUUGUGUGUUGAUUUCCAGAGGUCCAGAGGAAGAGCGGAACGGUCAGAAGCAGGCAACUUCAAUAGUAGAGGAUCAUUACCACCCGGUGAAAUGGGAAUUGGACAUGCAAAGGGUUCUGCUGGAGUACGAAUGAGAGAGUCAAAAAUUCCUACCAAUGUUCUCCGGGUGGGUUUACCCAAUACACAUAAAGUUAACGAGGAGGCACUAAGGCGGGCUAUGGCACCACAUGGUGUGGUUACA